rnacentral:sRNA from 1 species
GGGACAGGAGAGAGAGAGAGAGAGGGAGACAGGAGAGGGAGAGAGAGAAGGAGAAAGAGAGAGAGAGAGCCAGCAUGAGCACACAAGCUGUCGAUAGGUCUGCUAGCAGCAGCCGUGCUGCAGCGGAGAGAAAAAUCAAGAAACAAGUCAUAGCAACACUGGGCACCGGGUUCUGCCAAGCGUUCAGAAAUCUGUUGGGUGCCAGAGGCCUCUGGGUAGCCUAGGCUAAGAUGUCACGCAAGGUGGCACAGGCAGUUCCCAUGGGGAGGACGUGGGAAUGGGUGGGGGCAGGAGUGGGUACAAGAGUUGGUGGGGUGGCAGUGGAAGGCUUAAUCAGAGUGGAUUCUGGAACAUUCGGGACUGCGGCACCUUCUAUCUGGACAGGGAUUUGGGACUGCGCAGGAGACGACCGGUGGUCCAGUGGGGCUUAAGGACUUGAUGGCGUAACCCACUUCUUCCACAGAGGAGACUGGGGAGAUGGAUAUGAAGAGGAUUGACCAAAUUGGAAGAAAAUAUUUGUCCUCUGCUUUGGUGUCAGAAAAGGGAAUUUUCCAAUCUGCCACACCUCAGUGUUGCGGCAAAAUAAUUCUUGGCUCCCCUGGAAACCAUCGGGCAAGGUAGGGCAGAACUGCUGCUGCUGUCGCCAUAACCCUGGGCUUCCUAUUGAAUGGGCUGCUCCCAAGUGAAGGGAUCUACGCCGAUCCUCUGGUCAUCCAAAAGUCCUCAAAUCAGCUCUGAGCUGAGCCCACUGUUGGAAGAACCUGCCUUUUGGAAGUCGCCGCUACCUUGUGCGUGGAAAGGUGAGGAUGGGGACCAACCUCAGAGUAUUGCUUGGGACCUGGCUGUUGUGAUGUUUCCCAAAAAGUGAGUGGCUAGGGCUUUGAAGGACUCCCGUUAGAAUGCUUUGUCAGUCUAGGGAACCAGGAGAUGAAUGAAACUGGGGCAGCAGCAGCUGUCUUGUACUGGGGGCAGAAGCUAGAAAGUUAGAGUUCGGGCACCCCAUCUUGUCCUUGUAAUGGGUCUCAUAUUUAUGGGAAGGGGUUUGCUGGGCCCUGCACCAUGCAUAGUGACUCCACCCAUGACUGCGCAUCCAGAGCAAGAACGCAGUGCACCCUGGGUCUCUGGCCUGGGACAAACACCUCCCUCCUUGUUAUAUAACUCAGGGUGGCCUGUGCCUUCUCAAGCCUUCUUUGCCACUCAAUCUCCCCACUCCUUGGGGCUCACAGCUGAGGGUCUGUAAGGGAACAGUGGGAAUUUCUCUCCCUGAAUGAGCUAGCCUGUGUCUACUUGGUGACAAAAUUUGAGUACAGAAACGGUCUGCUGUCUCUUCUGAGGACAUGGACCCCAGAAUGCCCUUCUGAGUGCCCUGUGUCACCUGUAGUCCCUGACUUAGAGGUGGGCAUAGUGUCCUCCUUUCCCUUUUUAUCCUUUCUAGUUUGAGGGCAGGGAAUUUCUUAAGGAAAGGUAUGAAAACCUGUUAGGAGGGGUUUGGCAGUUUCCCUUCCUUGUCUCUAGCUUUCCUUUCCCUGGCUGGGUUCAUACUCUUUCUGGAUUCCUUUGAGGCUGCCAUUUUGAAGGCAUCUCUGCUUGUCCUUUACAUGGUAGCUGACGCUGCUGGUUUUGUUGGCCCUGCUGUGCUACUUCUAAGGAGUGGGUGGGAAUAAGAAAGGGGGCUCUGAUAGCGGGAUGAAGCUGCUGUAUAGAUGAUGGAGUUAUGAUUACAGCAGUAAGGUGGUCUGGAAGCAAAACUGCCUGGUUCCACGCUGGGUCACAGCACUGGUGGGUGUCUAAAUGGAAGCCUUCUGGGUCAGAGUUCCACAGCCUGGGACCCCAUCUUUCCCAGAGUGUGGGUACUUGGCUUCCCUGCCCUAGUCAACCUGAAUCUUAGAGAUGCUCCAUGAAGUGCCUAGUGUUGAAGAAGAGGGAAGGCAGACAUAGCAGCUCAUCUCAGAUGUGGUGGACCUGUGGUUUGUGUUUUUAAUUAGGCUCUCUCUCUCUGGCAGCCUCCAUAUGGAGAAAUGGGUUGAGGUCCACAGCAGGCAGCAGCAUUUGGUCAAAUGACCCUGCCUUUCCUCCUUGCCCCCUGCCAGGGCCACAGUUGUAAUUGCUGUUCUUUAGUGAGGCUCCCUGCUGCCCAACCCUUUCUAGGCCUUUCUGCGGACAGCGGCCAUCUUGUCUUCCUGCUCAGAGAUCUAAAAUGGUUUCCCAUUAUUGUCAGGUUGAAAUUCCUCCUAUUUGGUAGGAUACUCUGGGCUGACUACAAGUGGCCUUAGCUUUCCCACAAAGCCUUCCUCAGGUGAAAACCAGACCACCCAUAUCCCUGCUUUUCUUUUUUCCCUGUUUUCAAUACUGCUGUUUUCCAUGCCUGCGUUCUACCUGUUGCAGGGCCACUGUCUUUAUGGACCUCUCCCUGAGCACCCUGUAAGAAGAAAUCCCUGUAACCACUAUUACGAGUCUUCUUUCUUUCAUGUUUUUUUUUUUUUUUUUUUUUAAUGUGUGGUUCCGUGUAUUCUCUAUCAGAGUUUGUGCUCCAGUAAGAAGCCUGGGGAAAGGGGAGGAAGACAUCCCCUUUCAGAACCUCUGUGGCCGGAUGCCAUGUUACAUCAUGAACAUUACUGGGGUGGUUUGCUUGUUUGUUUGUUUUUGUUUUGUUAUCAUUUAGGGAGGAUCCUGUGGCUGACAAGAACCCCAGCCUUCAAAAAUCCUUUUUUCCUCCAUGUUUGCAAGAUGUUAGAAGGUGACACCCUCAAAUGUGACUAUUUUAGGAAUAUUGUAAGUCUCUAAAGUUGUGUUAGAUCAUUCAGCUGGCCCUUUUCCAUCAUGGCCAGGUUCAGUCAAAAUGAUAAAUUUUUUUGUAUCUGAAAUGAAUAAACCUCAGUUGUUUUGUGUGCCUUCCUCGGGAAGAGCAGGCAGAGGUGGGUAGGUAGGAACACCUACAGAGCGGGAUAAGCCCAGUCACUGACAUAGGUCCAGACACUGGACUCCUAAUACCAGGUCUGUACCCCAGUCUCAGCUGGAUGACUUUAGACAGGUCGUCCUGUUUCUUGCCUAAGUGCCUUAGUUUGUGAAGUAGCCCCUUAGCAGUCUGUUCUGUAGAAACGUCCAUUGUAUUGUCUGUUCCUUGUAGAUUUGGCUGAAGCCCUCUUUCUCUGAUUGGAGACUUAUUGGGGAUGUAAAAUGGGAGAAUAGCGGGUGACUAGCAAAUUAGGAGAGGACUAGAUCUCCUAAGCUGUCGCAGCAGGAAGAGAGAGGAAUAUCUCACGAGUUUGACCUCAAGCCGGCAAAGUGGUGGUGUUCUACCAGGGAGAACUUGACAGAGUACAAUUCCAUCUGUAAGUCAGUGACAAUCUCUUGGCAACUCAGUCAGUCUCAGCUGAGGAUAUCUGUGCACCUAAGCCAUCACACUAGAGCAGUUUGCUUGCACCUUUGUGGAACAGCAAAGAGGACCUGCUUGACUACCCUGCUUUCUGUGGGUAAGUGUUCAUCCUCAUUUCAAAUAUGCAGAGUCCGAUAGGUGUUUGUAAUCCUGGGCUGCUAUACCGUCUUUCUUCCUCUCCUACGUGUCCCAUCCUUUGUCUUUCAGAAGAAAGUGCUGGAAUUCAGUGUUCAGCCACCACAUGUCUUCCUUAGACUCAUACUUUAGAAGCCGAUCUUCGAUUUUCUCUAAAAUAGAUCCAGGAGACAUGUCUUUGUUGAGGAGUGUUAAUAGCUUCACGAAGGACCCUGCUGCACUCACUGUGCCCAGCUUGUGCUGAGGCUCCUAGUUGACUGACUGCAUGAGGAUGGUCCUUGCCAACGCCCGGCAUGCAUCUGCCAAGUUCUAGCUCCAAAUCUCUAAGCUGUAGGAACCUCAACUAUAUAUAGACUUGAACUAAGCAGAUCUUAGCAGACAUGUGUACCCUUUCCUGUGGGAGAAGAGUAUCACAACUACAGUGUGGAGAGUGAGUUAUUUCCAAGGGCUUAAAGGUAUAUAUUUCCAUAUCAGGCUUGGGUCUGCCGUACUUAACUCUUCUCUUUCCUUUUUCAGAUGCUGAUAGAUGAAAAGUCAUGCUAGAUGGGGUUGCUGAGGUGGGAUGAGGGCCAGUAGGUUGCCAUGUUUAGAGAAGGAAAGACCAUGUGGCCAAUGGAGAUUAUGCCCUACAUCAAAUCCCAGCUUCCAGUGUCUCCUCUGUUUCUUGCUGGAUUUGCUCUGCUCAAAGAUAUCUUUUGACCUUCGUUCUUUUUUUUUUUUUUUCUAUUUUUCGGAGCUGGGGACCGAACCCAGGGCCUUGCGAUUGCUAGGCAAGCGCUCUACCACUGAGCUAAAUCCCCAACCCCUUGACCUUCGUUCUUUUGGACCCUUUACUCUCUGUUUUCAUCUACCCCUUCCUGUUCUUCCCUUUGAUUUUUCUUUAGUAUUUUCAGCUACUGAUUCAACAGCCAUAUUUAUUCUUUGCCUUCCCUUCUCUGCCUUCAUCCCAAUUAAGCAAGGCAGAAAGGGGUAAUUAUUUUGGGAAGAUAGGUGAUUAGUAAACAAAAACCCAUGGUGUUGAGUGGUAGGGCAUAGUAGGGUAGGUAGUCUUCCUUCCUGUAGGUACUGUUGAGCCACCAAUUGUGUGAUUCCUUGACCUCAAGUAUAGCCUGAUAUAGUAUGGACCUGGUCUUGUUGGUAGAUUAAUAUCAGGCUGCUGACUAGAAACUAGAAGCAACAAAGGAAAGGUCUGAGCCUGCCUGUUUCCUGGAUCUAUUCCCUUAAACUUUACAAUUCCAAACCUCCAACAAUUAUCCUUUUCUUUCCACUCUCCCAUUCCUGACUUUUCUGUAAAUGGGUGACACGCAGAGUGCUAACAUAAAGGCAGCCUACUCAGCUAGCUAGGCUAUUAAUGUUUGGGAAGUAUCUGGAUAUCACUGUAGACAGUGUAUGGUAGUAACUGAGUACCUGGGCUUCCCACAGUCAGGAAAAGGAAGCUUCUUGGUUACUGACAGCUAACCUGAGCUUAUUCAGGGUGUUGUUCCCAUACCAUCCCUGAGAUCCUGGGAGCUGCCUGGGGUGUGGACAUGCUCUUCCCUUUUCAGAGUGCGUGUUUGUCUUACUCUGGACUCACUGAGCUUUAAAGGGGCUUAGGCUAAGUCUGGGGUCUAUAGUUUAGCCUGGGCUGAGCAGUAACUGAAUUCUGGAUUUUUCCCUACUUGGAAUUUUCUUUCGAAUGAAUUAUUUUUUUCUUUAGGCCUUUGAUUAUCUUCGAAGUAUCUCCAGACACUCGACAGGGAUUUGCUUUUCCUCUGCCUUACAAUAGCAGCAAUGUUGAGUUAAAGUGAUGAUGUCCCUCAGAACUGAGAAGGCAACCCCAUUGUAAACACAGGUCAGAAAGCAGCAGGUGCUUGCUAUGACAUUCAAAAGUCCCUGUCCAUUAUUGUUGGCAGUGUUCUUAGCAAUAGUGUCAGUGGAAACUAACUAACAGCCAAAGGUCUAGUGUCUAAGAGAAAAGGAAUAGUCCUGGAUAAUUCUACUGCCUACCUGCGAGAUCUCACCCUAGCUAGCUAGCGCAGCUGCUCUGCUGGCGCCGUGUUGAUGCAUUUCUCUUUCUUUGCCCCCUCCCUCUGCUGUCCAAAGAAGACUAAUGAAUCUCUCCUUGUAUGUUUGAUUGUCUUGUUUCUCCCUUUGAGGCGAGCCUCUGAGAUCCUUGCCAAGAAAAGUCAGUUUGGAUGAGUUGUCUGUUACUUCACAGAGCUGAACAAGUUCAGUCACUGCCUCAGUGGUAUGUGAGGGAUAGCAGGGGGUUGGGAGGACUGAUGUUUAAAUGGAAAGGUGAAUUCAAUCAGCUCUGCAGCUGGGAGGUGGAAAGGAAUAAACCUAGUUCAAGAUGAUACCCACUGGAGGGCUAGAGCCAGAUGUGCUUAGUGCAAUCUGAUGCCUUACCUCUAGUCCCCAGCCCGGCUUCUGCCGUGUGAUAGGCAGCAUCAUGUGUUGCCAGUCAAGCAGACAAGACAGUUAAGAUGCCUUGACUAGGAUCUUGGCAUGCCUGGCACUUCUUCCUUGGCCUCUGAGUCUCUAAGUUCUAGAAGACAGUUGUGGUACUGAAGCUGAGACAGCAUGGCCAUAGAAUACAAAGUACCUUACCCAGGGCCACACCAUAUGGGUUCCACUGAAUCCUGUUCUUACAGGGGCUGUGAAUUACUCAAUGGAUAUCUUGGCUCUAUCCUUUGGCUUGGGAUAUGUCCCCAAUACUGCAGCUUUAGAGGAGGAUGUGAAUUCUCACAGGUCGUUUUUUAUACAUAUAGCCGACCUUUGGGAUAAGUAAGAGAUACUGCCCUUUUAACUACCCUGCCAUCGAUGGGAGGUCCUUGUUUUCCUUAAUUUUUCUGAUCGGUAGCCAUGAGAAAAGUAUACACUGGGUUUGAUUCCUUGCCGGCUCCUUCUUAUCCUUUGGGCUGAUAAGCAAGAAAAUAGUCUUGAAGCCUCAUAGUCUGUGCAGACUUAAUGCAGACUCUAACCUGUGUGGUUAGAGUAUAGAAAUAGGACAGAGGGAACCUCAUAGGGCCAUGUUACUUUGUGGUUGGAUAAAAGGAACAAGUCAUGAGGGUGUGGGAAGUCAUAUCCAAAUGUCUAAACUCUAGGUAGGGUGGAGCCUGAAUGACUCUCUAAUGAGGCAAGGAAAUGGGGUCAGAUACCUCUCAGUCUCCAUAUGCCAUCCAUGGAAAAGGAGACUGCCCUCCCACCCUUGGUAACACAGAUAUUUCCCUUUGAUUGUUAUAAAAGUAUAAUUAUUAAAUGACUUAGGUCAAAUUCACACAAUUGGUGAGUGAUAUUGAGAUUUGAUUCAGCACUUCUGAUUCCAAAGUCAUGUUUUCUCCUCACCCUUGGGCUGAAGUCAGACGUUUUUGUAAAUUAACACCCCAAGAAACAAUAUAGUCUUCACUGUAAGCAAACUAUGUCCCACCAGUAAGGCUGUUCUCAAUCCUUUUUUGGGGAAGUGUGGCAUAUGUGUCUGUGGAAAUUAAAAAUAUCUUGUAGAUAUUGGUGAGUGGAUUAGGAGCUGGAGGUGCAGAGCCCUGAGACUAGGUUUCUUCUUGUUCUAUUGGUAUAAGACUGUCCAUAGUGUAGCAGUGUAAAAUACACAGUAGCCAGGAUAACAUUGUGAAAGAGGAAGACACCAAUCGUUGAAAAUAUGGUGACUAAUUUCUGUCAUGUUAGCACUCAGGAGGCUGAAGCAGGAGACUCGACUUCUAGGCUAGCCUAGGCUAGCUUAGUUUAAGACCCUUGUCUCAAACACCUCCCCUCCAAAGAAAAAAACCACAAAGGAAAACAUAGUGAGGAGAGUGGAAAGAGUUCCAGAUGAUAGAUGGACAAGACCAUGUUAGUUGGGCUAUCUUCCAAAGGGUUAGACUUGAUGUGGAUACCAACUCCUCCUUUCUCUAGGCAUUAUACAAAUCCUUACAAGUUCUUAGUAGCUCACAAAAGCAUGUACUAGGUUACGAGUGGUGGGAGCAGAGGUCAGAGUCUGGUACGGAUACCCUUAGCCUUUUUCCUCUUUAGCCCUCAUCAGGCGUCAGAUGCUUUUGUGCCAAAGUCUGAUCACCACACCUCUCAUCUGUGCAGCACAAGGAGCAUUCAGGCCAGGUCUUUGCUCAGUCACUGACAGUAUGUGCCUGCAGGAGGCUAAUUUGAAUCUCAGUCUCUUCUGGGACCAUGGUUUCUACAGGGAAUGGACAGGACCAGGUUGGGAGACAUCACCUCUAGUUAGAUGCUUUGUGUCCACUGUGUGCUCUAUGAGGCUGAGACAGGACAGUGGCUGAGGCAUAAGAGCUUCUGCACCAUGUGGUCAACUUCAGGAUUCAGAACUUGUUUCCCAGGAAAGAGGUGGCUGAGGUGAGCCAGACUAUGCAAUUCCCUCCUCCUUGGCCUAACACUGCUGCUUCAGACUGCUGAAAAUAUAGGAGCUUCCACUGGCUGAAGGAAUCAAAAUCUGCGUAAGGCUGUGUGUAUUGAGAGGUUACAGUAUGGGGGGGUAAGUCAUGGAAAAUGGAUUUAUGUUGUUUUGUGUUUGCACCAUGUCCUCGGUUUAUUUGCCUGUGAAACAGGUUUUGAAUGAGGAUCCUGUUGGAAGUUCUAACUCAUCUUACCUCUUAGGCCUGCCCUGAAUAUUUGUGCAGGUUUUGUUUAGCUAGAAACUCAGGGUCAGGAACAUGAACCCAAGUUGCAGAGAGAGGAGGGAUCUUGAAGGCCUAAGAGCAACCAAGUUUAGUUCCAAAGAAGCACUCAGUACUGGUGUGAAUGAUAACUGGUGAUGGACUUCAAGUGGGUAGUAGGAAUGGUUUUGGAUGGGUGUCAGUGAAGAGAAGGGGUUAACUGAGUGGAGGUAGCUGGGGAGGACUUACCAGGUGGCAGGAAAUGACACUGUUACCUUGUUAGGGACAAGUAGAAGAUAAGCAUAUGGGAGCUGGCUGUGUUGCAGGGGUCAGAUGGAGAGACCAUGUGUAUUCAAGGCCUAUCUUUGUGCAGAGAGGACUGCAUUUAUUUAUCCUCCUUUUCUUGUGUGGUUGGGACUCUAGCCUAGCUACAUGUGACAAAAAUUCUCCAAAGCUGCCUGAGUAGGAGCCCCUGUGCCGUGUCUUAAGGAUGUAAGGAACUUUAAGGAGCCUUAAAGUCAGUACACAGAUCUCGUCACAUUAGCUGGUUCUCUGGGUCUUUGCACAACACUGAGUAGAGAGGUAGCAUUGGUCUUGUCAUGAUUGAACUGAUCCAGGAAGAGCCCACUCAGAACUAUAUUGCUUGUUUCAAACUUGCAUUUCUAACCUAGGUUUUGUAUUCCAGCUAGACCAAGGGUCGGGGUGGAGCUUUGAGGUCCUUGACAGUGUUCAGCAUCUCCGAGACCUUCAGUUCCUACUUUGCACAUUAGAGGAAGGAAAGCUCUGAAUGCCUUUAUUCUCCUUCCUGCUGCUUCUCUGAGUCCUUGGAGCUCUUGUGCUAUCUGGCUUGCACUUCUUGGCUAAAAUGCCAGGCAUUCCCCAUGUUCCUGGAGAGAUUUCUUGUUAAGCCAUUCCGACACCUUCAUAGAGUUUUCCCUGUGAAUUCAGGCAUAUUUCUGCCGGGUGUUGCUCAUUGAGAGAGGAAGUCUCACUGUGGCAUCUGUGAGGUUUUCCCAUCCUAUUUGUUGAGGGAUGCCUGGAGCUUUCUCAGCAAGUAUAUCCCGUUUGCGUUGCCUGUUUGCUGGCUGACAUAUAUCACCCACUGGAAGCACUGGCAUAGUUAGAUGCUAGAAAAACUGUCAUCAGCUCAGAACCUCUGCCUCAUGAUAAGUUUAGGAGAAUGGGUCUCCCCUGUUUAUGAAAAUUGGGUGAGAGAACUGAUGGGCCCUAGGCUUCUUUGAGUCCUGAAAACAGUCCUCAUUUUUUUUAAGGGAACUGAGGCUGAAUAUUGCACUAUAUCACCUCUAAGUGACCUUUAUUUUAAUAGACCCAGGGCUCUGAUAGAGGAUAGAGAAGUGCCUGCCUUCACUUAUCAUGAACUUAGGCAUGAAGGGUUAGAUUUUUUGGGGAGUGUUCCCUUCAGAGCAAAUGAGGUUGGACAGGGUCAGCCAACGUCUGUGUCUGCUUAUGUGUGUCUAUCUCUCUGUGUUCCCUGAACGGAUCUCUGUGAAUGAGAAGUUACAUGGAAGCCCUUUCGGUGGAGGAUGCAUUCUAUUACUUUGCACUGUAUUAAAGCUGGUUCUUUCUAGUCACCUGGAGAAUGCAAAAGAGGGUUGAUCCAACACAAAGUUAUGAGGGAAAUUCAUGGAGAUACCACAAAAAGCCUGUUUGUAACUUUGCUGAGUUCCCAGAGGAAGAUAGCACUCCCUGAGGAGAUGUUGGCUGCUCUUGUCAGGUCUGCCUAGUUCUGAGGCUAUGGUACUUUGAAACUGUGUGUGGCCGAGUUACCAGGAUAUAAAGUGACUCCUUAGUUCUACUUUAUAUCAACCCCAGCUCCCUUUGUGGCAGCCUUAAGGUGAGAGACUGGGAGAGACCACGUAGGCAUAGAACCUGGGACUAUAACACAUUUACCUUUGCAGAGAGGAUUUCUGCUCAGGAGUUGUUCUUAAUUCUCACACAAGAAGUAGAGAAAGUAUACGCUGUCUCUCAUAGGGAAGAUCUGUUCUAGUCGUGCAUUUGUUUUAUGACUACCCCUAUCCCAGGCCAUUCCUCCCAGUGAGGGGGACUCUUGACAAGGAUUGUGGGUGGUAGAGAAGGCAAGAUCAGAUGAGAUUUCCUAUAAAAGUUUUCUAGAAGAAUUUCAGAGUAAACUGACAGCUCUGACAGUCACGGGCAUUGUCUAUGAUGCUAAAGGCUUCGGUGCAUGUUCAAGCACAUGGACUACUUAGAACUCCAGAGUGUGAAAUAAUUAGUUAAUGGCUCAGUGAAAGUUGUGUUAAGUAUGGAAAAUCCUGUGUCCUUUUGCGUUAUUGCCAGCUGAAUAUUUAGUAUCAGAAGGCUGGACAUGUCGACAGGCUGGGGAAGGUUACAUGAGUUGUAAACCACCCCACCUCACCCCACCCCACCCCACCCCUGGAGCUGAGGACUGAACCCAGGGCCUUGUGCUUGCCAGGCAAGUGCUCUACCACUGAGCUAAAUCCCCAACCCCAAGUGAGUUGUAUCUUAAGUUCACGCUUACUAUUGACUUUCUUCCUCCUUCCUUUUCUAUUUCCUACUCUCUUGCAUUCCUUAGCCAUUUCUGAAUACAAUCAUUUAUCUACGGAGGAUUGGAUCCACAAAAUGCUGAAGCCCCUCUGUGAAAUGAAAUUAUUUUCACUUAAUUUACACAUACCCUUUUGUGAACUCUUUAAACCAUGCCCAGGUUUCUUCUAAUACCUGAUUCCAAGAAAAUGCUGUCAAAUUAUUGUUUUAAGAAUACUUUAGCGAUAGUGGCAAAAAGAAGUCUGUGUAUAUAAGGUAAAGAUGUAGUUCAUAUUCAUAUAUACGUGUUCAUGGAUGUGUUCACUGCUACAUUUUUGAAGUACAGUUCUGAUAUCAGUGAAUGGAGUGACUUUGGAGUGUAAAUGCAGGGACCCUUCUGUCUCCAGGUUUAGCUUUCCAUUGGCCUCGACAGAGAACAGUUUUCCCUAUAGUAUGUACCUAAUUUUUGGGUAGUGGUUGUUUAGGUAUACAAAUCCUAAACCUAAUUAGCUGUUAUUUCUUUUCAGCUCAAAUUCUAAUGGCCUGGAAUAUCUAAGACCUUGGAUGCCACUCUGCUAGGUAAGAAAGGCCAAGAGUGAGUUGGCACAGAGAAGGAGAGGACACUGCCUCUGGCCACUGGCUUCUCUCCAAAACAGGUGACCUUUGUGUUUGAAAGGAAUGCAUUUAAUCUUUUGGGCCUAAUAGAAGUUACUUGUAUUUUCUCUCCUUUUCGCCCUUCCUUUCUCUCCUCUACUCUUCCCCCACCCUUGCUACUUCCUCAGCCACCAAAGAAUUUAAUCUGCUGCACAACAAACAAUACAGUUAUAAAACUUUGAAGACAAGAGGGUGUAGACUCCCCAACAAGGGAAAGGGCAUGCUGGGUAAUGUCCCCAGGAAACAUGCCAGGCUUGUACAGAGCCUGCAAGAGCCUAAUUGACUGCGUACCUGGGUGCCUGCCCUGCCCAGUGCUAAGCUAUCCCUAGUCCAGAGAAGGAAUCCAAAUGAAAGAGGUCAGAGAAGGGCUUAUAAAGGGGAAGUUGUGUGUUUUCUCCCUCUGAUCUGAUGGGAAUGUACUAAACUGUGAAACUUCCUCCUCUGCUGCUUCUCUCUCUCCCCUCCCUCUUUUUCCAUUUUCUCCCUCCUACCUCCCUUAACCCUCCACCUCCUCCGUCUCAUUGUUCUUGAGCCUAGCAGACAGAAGUCAUGAUAACAGAAAAAGGUUAGAAUAGCAGUUGUAGGUGCUACUACUGGCUGGGCCUGCCAAGCAUGAAACAGGGUUUGAGGUCUUUGCUGCCUAUAGGCUCAGACCUAUCUCUGCUAAGCCCAGCCUCCUUCUCUGAGUUGAGGCAGUGAAGCCACAUACACAACACAGUGUGCCCCAGUCUAUAUACUGCUAGGUGUGUACCCAGGUACUGGGCAGAAAUACCACUGAGAGGUCAGUGGGUCCACCUUGACCUUCUUAGGACUGUGCUAAGGAGGACAGUGAACGGAGAUGAUCUCUGCUAUGAGAUUCACAGGAGGAGCAAGGCUUGUUGUAUAGAACUUUAUUGUUGAGAACUCCUAAGAACCUAGUGAGUAAGAAUAUGGCACUAGAUGGGAUGUUAUACCUGCCUCUUAUCUCAAGAAACAAGGAACCUUGUUUCUUAGCAAUAGUAGACCAGUGCUAGCUAAAUGAGAGGUAGGGAAGUUGGACUUAGUCCUGACCUGAUUAAGCUGGUAUCGCCUUACUGAACCUUCUCCUCUGAGCCAUAUAGACUAAUUAGGCAUGUUAAUGGAAUGGGCUGUUUGGAUCUAGGGCCAUGAACUUUGGUAGGCAUAGGGAGACUACAGGCAAGCUUAUCUUUCCUCUGGCAACAAACUUGAGCUUCCAUGAAAGUGGUCUGGGCUGUGUUUCUUUUGCCUAUGAGAGCAAAGCCUUUUGCCAUAGCCAGGGUACAUUGCACUCUGGCCUUCACUCUGUACUUCCUUCUCUCUUUCUUCACUGUUUAUUUCAUCCCAGAAGGCAGUGUGGUGCCAUGCCCUGUCUAGCCCAGAUACUGUGCCAGGACCUUAGUGCUCUGUACAGAAUUUUACUGAGUUUGGGAGCUUUUGAGACGUAAGAGUUGUUCAGUAGCAUUAAGGAGGGGGCAGAAAACCUAACUUUUAGGAAUUUCAUUUCUCAGGAACAUAGGUGUCCUGAUUCAGUGGAGCCAGGAGGACCAGUGUGGGCCCCGACAGGCUUCCGAAGCCUUUCUUCUCCCUUAGUUAUCCACACAGGUACUUGAAGGACAUGCUGAACCUCAAGGAUAGUAUGCCCAAACAAGUUCCAGAUUCCCAUUUACCGAUGGAUCCCCAACAUAUGCUCCUCAUUUUAUCACCCUUUCCUCCGAUUCAUUAGCCACAGCUUUCUGGUAACACGAUCUACCUACCCUGGAUGCUGGGCCUGGGCUGCAGCCGAGAGUGACAAGAAGCCAGGCCCCCUGUUCAGUGUACAUACAGGUGGGUUUUUGGACGUAAGAUGGUUCUUUUUUUUUUUUUUUUU